rnacentral:lncRNA from 1 species
AAGGAUGCAAUUUAGUAUAGAAAAUUCCUAAAUUACCAAAAAGUUCUUAAAACUGGUAAGCUCUGGAGAGGGAAAAGAGGUAUCAGUUAAUUUUUUUAUUUUCUUUCUGUAUUCUUUGAAUUAUUUAAUUAUGAGGAUGCAUCUUAAAAAACAAAGCUACUAUAGAUUUUUUAAGAUACAAAGAACCAAGAAGCUGAGCAUCAAAAUUUUUAUGUGUUUUGCCUUGACUCAAGAAUCUUGAGGGCAUAGGAAAUAUCUUAUAAUUAUUCUGAAUUCUCCAAAGUGCUUUGCCCAUAUUUACUGGUAAAAUAUUUUACUCAGUCACUGAUAUUUAUUAUCAAGUAAAU